AUUGCUCACUCUCCCUCAAAGGCUUCCGAGAUAUUAUUCUGUCCUAUGGAAUCAUUUUUCCGGAAGCAGUUGGGGGCGAGUGGAUAA
rnacentral:miRNA from 1 species